rnacentral:rRNA from 1 species
UAAAGAUUCAUCGCUGAUAGAUAGGCAUGCGUUCCAUUAGGCAGUUGGCGGGGUAACGGCCCACCAAACCGACGAUGGAUAGGGGUUCUGAGAGGAAGGUCCCCCACAUUGGUACUGAGACACGGACCAAACUCCUACGGGAGGCAGCAGUGAGGAAUAUUGGUCAAUGGGCGUAAGCCUGAACCAGCCAAGUCGCGUGAGGGAUGAAGGUUCUAUGGAUCGUAAACCUCUUUUAUAAGGGAAUAAAGUGUGGGACAUGUCCUAUUUUGUAUGUACCUUAUGAAUAAGGAUCGGCUAACUCCGUGCCAGCAGCCGCGGUAAUACGGAGGAUCCGAGCGUUAUCCGGAUUUAUUGGGUUUAAAGGGUGCGUAGGCGGCCUUUUAAGUCAGCGGUGAAAGUCUGUGGCUCAACCAUAGAAUUGCCGUUGAAACUGGGGGGCUUGAGUAUGUUUGAGGCAGGCGGAAUGCGUGGUGUAGCGGUGAAAUGCUUAGAUAUCACGCAGAACCCCGAUUGCGAAGGCAGCCUGCCAAGCCAUGACUGACGCUGAUGCACGAAAGCGUGGGGAUCAAACAGGAUUAGAUACCCUGGUAGUCCACGCAGUAAACGAUGAUCACUAGCUGUUUGCGAUACAGUGUAA